CUGAUCAGAUAACAAAAACGGGACUCUCGUCGAGACUCCGCCCACUUUGCCGCGGGUCUCUCGGAGCACGAGCAAGAUGCUGCCGCCGAGAGCCCCCCUCCCCGGGAUGGGAACUCCGCUUGCCUCGCCGCCACGGGUAGGCAUGAGGCCCCCACUGAAAGCAGGCAAAAAUACUACAACGUAGUAUGAACCCCCGAACGGGAUGAGCCUUCCAUGGAUGGGAUCUGCAGAGCAUGCUGCACACUGGUCAGAAGCCUGGUUGAAGCUGCACAACCUAUUGCUCCCAGCAUCAGAAGGGAUGAAAGAUUAUCUGUACUAGCUUAUCUUAUUUUUUAUAGUGUUACCUUUAAUAAAUAGUAUUUUAAGUGAUA